rnacentral:rRNA from 1 species
UACAGAGGGGGGCAAGCGUUAUUCGGAAUUAUUGGGCGUAAAGGGCGCGUAGGCGGCUUGGCAAGUGGAUGGUGAAAUCCCUCGGCUUAACCGAGGAACUGCCGUCCAAACUGCUUGGCUUGAGACCAGGAGAGGUGAGUGGAAUUCCCAGUGUAGCGGUGAAAUGCGUAGAUAUUGGGAGGAACACCAGUGGCGAAGGCGGCUCACUGGACUGGUACUGACGCUGAGGCGCGAAAGCGUGGGGAGCAAACGGG